AACGCGAAGAACCUUACCUGGGCUCGAACGGCUUCGGACAAACUGUGGAAACACGGUCUUCCCGCAAGGGACUGGAGUCGAGGUGCUGCAUGGCUGUCGUCAGCUCGUGUCGUGAGAUGUUGGGUUAAGUCCCGCAACGAGCGCAACCCUUGUCCUGUGUUGGCAUGCCGUAAGGCGCAACUCUCAGGAGACCGCCAGCGAUAAGCUGGAGGAAGGUGGGGAUGACGUCAAGUCAUCAUGGCCUUUAUGUCCAGGGCCACACACGUGCUACAAUGGGCGGUACAAAGCGCUGCCAACCCGCGAGGGGGAGCUAAUCGCCAAAAACCGUCCUCAGUUCGGAUUGCAGGCUGCAACUCGCCUGCAUGAAGCUGGAAUCGCUAGUAAUGCUAUAUCAGAACGAUAGCGUGAAUACGUUCCCGGGCCUUGUA
rnacentral:rRNA from 1 species